GGGGUCCGACUAAGCCAUGCGAGUCAUGGGGCGCGCUCUGCGCGCACCGGCGGACGGCUCAGUAACACGUCGGUAACCUACCCUCGGGAGGGGGAUAACCCCGGGAAACUGGGGCUAAUCCCCCAUAGGCCUGAGGUACUGGAAGGUCCUCAGGCCGAAAGGGGCUUUGCCCGCCCGAGGAUGGGCCGGCGGCCGAUUAGGUAGUUGGUGGGGUAACGGCCCACCAAGCCGAAGAUCGGUACGGGCCAUGAGAGUGGGAGCCCGGAGAUGGACACUGAGACACGGGUCCAGGCCCUACGGGGCGCAGCAGGCGCGAAACCUCCGCAAUGCGGGAAACCGCGACGGGGGGACCCCCAGUGCCGUGGCAUCGCCACGGCUUUUCCGGAGUGUAAAGAGCUCCGGGAAUAAGGGCUGGGCAAGGCCGGUGGCAGCCGCCGCGGUAAUACCGGCGGCCCGAGUGGUGGCCGCUAUUAUUGGGCCUAAAGCGUCCGUAGCCGGGCCUGUAAGUCCCUGGCGAAAUCCCACGGCUCAACCGUGGGGCUUGCUGGGGAUACUGCAGGCCUUGGGACCGGGAGAGGCGGAGGGUACUCCUGGGGUAGGGGUGAAAUCCUAUAAUCCCAGGAGGACCGCCAGUGGCGAAGGCGCUCCGCUGGAACGGGUCCGACGGUGAGGGACGAAGGCCAGGGGAGCGAACCGGAUUAGAUACCCGGGUAGUCCUGGCUGUAAAGGAUGCGGGCUAGGUGUCGGGUGAGCUUCGUGCUCGCCCGGUGCCGAAGGGAAGCCGUUAAGCCCGCCGCCUGGGGAGUACGGCCGCAAGGCUGAAACUUAAAGGAAUUGGCGGGGGAGCACUACAAGGGGUGGAGCGUGCGGUUUAAUUGGAUUCAACGCCGGGAACCUCACCGGGGGCGACGGCAGGAUGAAGGCCA
rnacentral:rRNA from 1 species